rnacentral:rRNA from 1 species
UACGUAGGGGGCUAGCGUUGUCCGGAAUCAUUGGGCGUAAAGAGCGUGUAGGCGGCUUUGCAAGUCCGUUGUGAAAACUCGAGGCUCAACCUCGAGACGCCGGUGGAAACUGCAAAGCUAGAGUCCGGAAGAGGAGAGUGGAAUUCCUGGUGUAGCGGUGAAAUGCGCAGAUAUCAGGAAGAACACCCGUGGCGAAGGCGGCUCUCUGGGACGGUACUGACGCUGAGACGCGAAAGCGUGGGGAGCGAACAGG